rnacentral:misc_RNA from 1 species
AACGCAUAUUGCGCUCGAGGCUUCGGCUGAGAGCAUGUCUGCCUCAGCGUCGGGUUAAUACUCACACCCUCUCUCCUUGGAUAGAGCGAUGUGGACCUGGCUGUCUCACCCGAUCAAAAGGGUGGGUCCGCUGAAGUGUAGAGGCAAUGCAUGGACCCGCUAAGGGCUGCAACUGGGUAGGUGGCUCCGCUGCUAAUUCUCACGUUGUUGGUCUGGGAACGCGCUUGUCGCACUCACUCAGGAAACUAUUAACCAUUUUCCCGACCUGAGCUCAGGCAAGAUUACCCGCUGAACUUAA